AGACGUUAGCGGCGGACGGGUGAGUAACACGUGGGUAACCUACCUAUAAGACUGGGAUAACUUCGGGAAACCGGAGCUAAUACCGGAUAACAUUUGGAACCGCAUGGUUCUAAAGUGAAAGAUGGUUUUGCUAUCACUUAUAGAUGGACCCGCGCCGUAUUAGCUAGUUGGUAAGGUAACGGCUUACCAAGGCGACGAUACGUAGCCGACCUGAGAGGGUGAUCGGCCACACUGGAACUGAGACACGGUCCAGACUCCUACGGGAGGCAGCAGUAGGGAAUCUUCCGCAAUGGGCGAAAGCCUGACGGAGCAACGCCGCGUGAGUGAUGAAGGGUUUCGGCUCGUAAAACUCUGUUAUUAGGGAAGAACAAACGUGUAAGUAACUGUGCACGUCUUGACGGUACCUAAUCAGAAAGCCACGGCUAACUACGUGCCAGCAGCCGCGGUAAUACGUAGGUGGCAAGCGUUAUCCGGAAUUAUUGGGCGUAAAGCGCGCGUAGGCGGUUUCUUAAGUCUGAUGUGAAAGCCCACGGCUCAACCGUGGAGGGUCAUUGGAAACUGGGAAACUUGAGUGCAGAAGAGGAAAGUGGAAUUCCAUGUGUAGCGGUGAAAUGCGCAGAGAUAUGGAGGAACACCAGUGGCGAAGGCGACUUUCUGGUCUGUAACUGACGCUGAUGUGCGAAAGCGUGGGGAUCAAACAGGAUUAGAUACCCUGGGAGUCCACGCCGUAAACGAUGAGUGCUAAGUGUUAGGGGGGUUCCGCCCCUUAGUGCUGCAGCUAACGCAUUAAGCACUCCGCCUGGG
rnacentral:rRNA from 1 species